UGCUAAUUGCCAAGUAGAGAAGCAGAAGAUAAGCUCCUAUCGUACUCCCAAAUACAAAGAGAAGGCCUCCAAUGCCUUUAAGAGACAGAAAAGCAGCAACUAAAUGGGAAACAUCGAUAACAGGUAGGUCGAAUCCAAAUCUAGCAGAGACGUUGCUCCUAAAAGUGUUCAACUUUGGAAGCAAUUCCUUUGCAGCAGGUCCACCAUCAGUGCCAAAUUCAUUGAACAUUUGCCAGGCGGAGAGGAUGAAAAGGGAGGCAAAGAGGACCCGUCCAAGGAAAGAGAAGAACCCCAU
rnacentral:misc_RNA from 1 species